UUUUACAAAGAUUUCUUUUUCAUAUUGACUUUAUAUCGCAUCGACACCUCGACCAUUAGUGACAGGUAGAGAUUAUUCUUUUGCCAAUCUCUUCUGUUGCAAAAAUCAGACGAAUCUACCUCGAUAAAUUUUCCACACUUUCUUAGGUAAGUAGUCACUUUUCUUCGAGAAAGUUACGCGAACCACUACGUAGAUGGUAAUCUGCGGAAAAAAGUUCUGGUGAGUAGAAGGAACAAGGAACCAUCUACUGUAAUUUUUUGCACAUUCAAGUUGUUGCAAUCUAAUUUACAUUAACAUAGAACAGGAUUGGCUUUUCCCAAGUGAGCAAAAUUUUCAUCGCGUGCAAGAGGCAGACACGCCAUACGAACAAACAGCGAAACUUUCAGCUCGCAGCUAGGUUUAAAACUGAAAUUCAACAGGUGGACCAUGCAAAUAUUUGUCGGAAACGAGGCAUUCGUAUAAUACCGCUCAUCAAUAGUAUUGCUCCGGGCAUUAUCAUCUACGCACAGAAAAAAGAGAUUCCUUCAUCGUGGAGAAAAUUGACAGCUCCGAAACGUCUUCUUUUGUCGAUAACAUCCAGAUCGAUGAUGAUUAGAAUUUUUAUGUCAUCGAACGAAACUACAAGGGCAAGCAUCCUGGAUAUGUGGAAGGAAGCGUAG
rnacentral:misc_RNA from 1 species